UACGAAGGGGGCUAGCGUUGCUCGGAAUCACUGGGCGUAAAGGGUGCGUAGGCGGGUCUUUAAGUCAGGGGUGAAAUCCUGGAGCUCAACUCCAGAACUGCCUUUGAUACUGAAGAUCUUGAGUUCGGGAGAGGUGAGUGGAACUGCGAGUGUAGAGGUGAAAUUCGUAGAUAUUCGCAAGAACACCAGUGGCGAAGGCGGCUCUCUGGGCCGUAACUGACGCUGAGGAGCGAAAGCGUGGGGAGCGAACAGG
rnacentral:rRNA from 1 species